UCCCAGACUCCUACGGGAGGCAGCAGUGGGGAAUUUUGGACAAUGGGGGCAACCCUGAUCCAGCAAUGCCGCGUGAGUGAAGAAGGCCUUCGGGUUGUAAAGCUCUUUUGUCAGGGAAGAAACGGUGGUUUCUAAUACAGAUCACUGAUGACGGUACCUGAAGAAUAAGCACCGGCUAACUACGUGCCAGCAGCCGCGGUAAUACGUAGGGUGCAAGCGUUAAUCGGAAUUACUGGGCGUAAAGCGUGCGCAGGCGGUUUUGUAAGUCUGUCGUGAAAUCCCCGGGCUCAACCUGGGAAUUGCGAUGGAGACUGCAAGGCUAGAAUCUGGCAGAGGGGGGUAGAAUUCCACGUGUAGCAGUGAAAUGCGUAGAGAUGUGGAGGAACACCGAUGGCGAAGGCAGCCCCCUGGGUCAAGAUUGACGCUCAUGCACGAAAGCGUGGGGAGCAAACAGGAUUAGAUACCCUGGUAGUCCACGCCCUAAACGAUGUCUACUAGUUGUCGGGUUUUAAUUAACUUGGUAACGCAGCUAACGCGUGAAGUAGACCGCCUGGGGAGUACGGUCGCAAGAUUAAAACUCAAAGGAAUUGACGGGGACCCGCACAAGCGGUGGAUGAUGUGGAUUAAUUCGAUGCAACGCGAAAAACCUUACCUACCCUUGACAUGGAAGGAACCCUGGAGAGAUCUGGGGGUGCUCGAAAGAGAACCUUUACACAGGUGCUGCAUGGCUGUCGUCAGCUCGUGUCGUGAGAUGUUGGGUUAAGUCCCGCAACGAGCGCAACCCUUGUCAUUAGUUGCUACGAAAGAGCACUCUAAUGAGACUGCCGGUGACAAACCGGAGGAAGGUGGGGAUGACGUCAAGUCCUCAUGGCCCUUAUGGGUAGGGCUUCACACGUCAUACAAUGGUACAUACAGAGGGCCGCCAACCCGCGAGGGGGAGCUAAUCCCAGAAAGUGUAUCGUAGUCCGGAUUGUAGUCUGCAACUCGACUACAUGAAGUUGGAAUCGCUAGUAAUCGCGGAUCAGCAUGUCGCGGUGAAUACGUUCCCGGGUCUUGUACACACCGCCCGUCACACCAUGGGAGCGGGUUUUACCAGAAGUAGGUAGCUUAACCGCAAGGAGGGCGCUUACCACGGUAGGAUUCGUGACUGGGGUGAAGUCGUAACAAGGUAGCCGUAUCGGAAGGUGCGGCUG
rnacentral:rRNA from 1 species